GCAAUCCCCAUGCCCCCCCCGCCCCUCGCCAUCCCCCGCCCCACCCCCACCUGCUGUCCCCAUGCUCCUCCCUGUCUCUGUGGCUCCUUUCUCCCCAGGUGACACCCUGCCGUCCCCAGGGCCUCAUGUUCGUGGGGGGCACUCAGAGCCCCACAGCCGCCAUCCUGAACGGCUUCAUGAGCUUGAACAGGACUCUGGGUUCUCGUCUCUUGCCGGCCCGGCAGUCACGCAGCGGCUUUGGGCCGUCAGCAGCAUGUUGGCGGCUUGCUCCGUCCUAGAAUAUAGACAUGCAGACCUCAGCAGGCAGGCAGUGGUGGUGUGUCAUCCCCGGGGAAGGAACCGCAGGGGACGGAUGGAAGCAGGGUGAGCACAGGCUCCGCCACUCCCCACGGCACAGCAGCCCCGUCAGAGGUGGCCACCAGCCUCGGGCCAGCUUCUUGAAGAAGCCCCUCACCUCCAGGACCCAGAGAGAUCAGCAGCCACUGGCCGUGGCCAGCAGCGUGGGCCAGCAUGUUGCACAUACAUUUGCAUUUCUUGUUAAAAAGUCCAUUGGAGCCGUAAGAAAACCCGCUUUUCUGUGCACUCGCCGUGAUCAGCGACUGCCGCCAUGGGGAGCCAAUGAACCAGCACCCAUCGCACAACCGCCCUCCGCCGCCGGCUCAGCAGGUCCUGUGCCCGACCCUACCGGGUGUCAGCUCCUUCCACACUUUGGACCUUUGCUGGUCAAAGGGGGCUGGGGGCGUGGUGCAGGGGAGGAGACACCCACCUCUCCACUGGGCCUUCCUCCUCCGGCCAGGCCCCCCCCCACGCCCAGCUGCAGGCAAAUCCAGGCCCCCGAGACAGCCCCUGGCGUGGGGAAGAUGGAAGCGGGCAGCAUUCACUUGCCGCCUGGUGGAACAGACCUGUAGGCGACGGUCCGCUUCGCCUUCUCAGCUUUUAAAAUGAUCAUUUGUGGUAUCAUAGAACGUUCUAGAAUUCUAGAUUUAGUUUUUCAGUGUGAAGAAGACUCAGCGGAUAUCACAACAUUUAACAGCUGGUGGGUUGUAACCCACCUUUUAAAGUGUUUGUCACAAGGCACUCCAAAUAUUAGCCUGAGAUCCAGAUAGGGAGUGAGGUCGCCGUGAGGCCGUGGGAGCUUUGUGGGGCACCUGCGGCCAAGCCCGGGCUCGGCUGGGACCUUCAGCCUCUGACACAAGGAAAUGUGUCUGAUGGACCCUUCAUCGACACAACAAAUAACUUUAAGAAAGAGGAGCUUAGCUCCUGGAAUAAGUGAAAUGACUUAAAUUCUACAUAAAUACAUUUGGUGCAUAAGUCAA